rnacentral:rRNA from 1 species
AUGAAUGAAUUUCUUAUUUCACCAUAUACGUGUGAUGAUCUACGGAAGGCUCUCUUCCAGAUAGGGGAUAUGAAAGCCCCGGGGCGAGAUGGUUUGCAUGCAAUAUUUUUCAAGCGUUUUUGGCAUAUCCUGGGAGAUGAAUUAACUAAUGAAGUUCUUGAAGCUAUUAGCCAGAGGAAAAUACCCUUUGGUUGGAACUCUACAAACAUAGUGUUGAUUUUGAAAGUUGACCCAAAGGCCAUUACACAGUAUAGACCCAUUAGCCUAUGUAGUGUGGUAUAUAAAAUUAUCUCAAAGAUGAUGGCUAACAGACUGAAGAGAAUUUUGCCAGAGAUUAUUUCCCCAACACAGAGCGCUUUUGUUCCAGGAAGGCUCAUCACAGACAAUGUGUUGGUGGCAUAUGAAUGUUUUCCUACUAUAAAGAAGAAAACCCAUGGUCUAGGGGCUUAUUGUGCUGUCAAACUAGAUAUGAACAAGGCCUAUGACAGGGUUGAAUGGAGUUUUCUGGAGAGAAUGAUGCGAAAAAUGAGUUUUCAUGAGCAGUGGGUCCAAAUGAUAAUGGAGUGUGUAUCUUCUGUCAACUAUAAGGUGAGAUUUAACAACACUGAGACAGAAGAAUUUUUUCCCACUAGAGGUUUACGGCAGGGCGAUCUAUUGUCCCUGUAACUCUUUUUGCUGUGUUCGGAAGGCUUGUCUAGUAUGCUAGCACAUGAGGAAGAGAUUGGGAACCUAGAAGGUAUCAAGGUAUGCAGGAGUGCACCUACUACUUCACAUCUCCUAUUUGCAUAUGGCUCAUUGAUACUAAUGAAGGCAAAUACACAAUGUGCUACUACCUUAAAGAAUAUACUGGACACAUAUUGCAACAGCUCAGGACAGUUGGUAAGUAAUGCCAAAUCAAGUAUUUUUUCCAGCCCUAAUACUCCGCUUGGUGUGCGGAAGGAGGUAUGCAGGGAAUUAGAUAUUUGUUACAGAAGCACUCUCAGACACUUAUUUGGGGGUGCCCACAAUGGUGGGUGUUGAGACUGUUUCUAGCAUCUUGUAGAUCGUGUCUGCCAACGUCUCAAGGGAUGGAAGGAGAAAAUUUUCUCUAUGCAAGGGAAGGAAAUUUUACUUAAAUCAAUUGCACAUGAUAUUCCUUCCUACGCUAUGUCAGUUUUUAAAUUACCCAAAGGAAUUUGCAAAGACAUUACAGAUGAAAUAUCAGGAUUUUGGUGGGGAGAUAGUGAGGAGAAGAAGAAGAUGCAC